CAGGUGGCUCUAAUGCAAAUUCAGCCUGCAGUCACAGUCGACGAGUUCUGCUGUAAACACAACAACCAUUACAAUGACUGAGUCGGGUUCAAAGUUAAGAAUAUUUAAGUUUUUAAAGAUAAUUAUUAGCAGCUUGCUUAUUACAGUCCUGCUGUUAUUUACAAUAGCAGCUAUCAGGACUCUUUCACUGGACGUUAACGCCGGACUUCAACUCGCACACUGGGAAAAGACGAAUAACAAAUCGCUCGUCAUUGACCACCAUCAGAGAGAGGAGCUCCUAGCAAAUUUUAAAGAGGCAAUCCGCAUCCCCACCGUGUCAUUCUCAAAUACAGAAAGCAACACCACUGCGCUGCAUGAAUUUGACAGAUUCCUCCGAAAAGGUAAACCUGCCAGUAAAACGUGCUUAAAGUAACUUUCUUUUAUAUAUAAUGUGCUCAACGUGGAACUAGCUGAUGGCUGUAACUCUAAACGUUAAUGUAGUUUUUGUAUGUCAAACUUGUAUAGCGCUAAUAAAUGGAUAAAGUUAAUGUUUGCUGUGCAGAUGUACUUUGUUCGGUACACCUUAUUCAGAAUUAACCUUUCCACGUCUUGCUGAGCCAAGGUAUGUCGAAACGCUACACCGAGAUGCACGUGGUUCAAAACCCUCAAGUCACAUGACCCAUGACCCUUUGUCGACCAAGAGCACCUGGCUGCAGCCACUGUGGAGUUAAGUCUAAAAAAACUCUAAAAUUAAGGAAUUAUUCACUAAUGCUUUCCCCCAUAUAGAUCAAAUCCAAAUUCCAUUUCACAACCGUUCUCCUGCGAUCAAAAGAAAGAAAUCAGAGCAAAUUACCUAAAACUUCCCAUUCCUCCAAAAGCUAAGGAGGUCCAUUAUGAAAUACUCUCAGGCAUUUACCGUUCCAAAGAAUUUCUCAGGCAUCGUUUUCCUAUUGAUAAUAAGUCUUGUUCUUUCUGUAAUGGGAAUAUUGAUUCGACAGAACUUUUAUUUUACGAAUGUAUAUACUGUAAAGCCCCGUGGGACGAUGUGCACUACUGGCUUUUCCCAAAGAUUCCAAACUUACUUGAAUUUUCUAAAAAUGAUAUUAUUUUUGAAUCUCAAAGAAAAGAAAAUAAACUUGAAAAUGUCUUAAAUGUGAUAAUUAUUAUGGGUUCAUUCAUAAAUGUCGAUUUCUGAAAACUAAGCCAUUCUUUUUCACUUUUCACGAAGAACUCUGCCUCUUCUUCUCAUCUGCAAAGUUUAUGGACAAAAAACAAGCUGUGGAUCUGCGACAAUAGCGGACAUCAUUUUCAAACCCCCCCCCUGUGGUCUUUCGCUACUCAAGUUAAACAUGAUACAAGUCAAUUAGAUCAUUUAAAAAUUUUAUUGUUUUUUUUUUUUCAGUGUUUCAUUUGUUCCUGAGCAAAUCAGUUUGGCUCAGAUUAAGCUUUAUAACUGGACUGUUUUAUUUAAUACUGAAGUCUUACUUGUAGAGCUGUCAGUGUACUUUAAAUUUCACCUGUUAUACUGCCUGAUGUAAAAUAUUCUGUUCUUUUUUUAAACAGCUGACUCUGAGUUAAAUAUAACAUUAAAAAUAUUUAAAUUCAAGAGGAAACGUUUUCACUGAGAGCAAAAACAACAUGUUAAUGCGUGGAGAUCCUGACGGCUGCUCCAAAUGAUCCGAUUAUAUUUUAAAUAUUUGUUCAAUUCUCUUCCAAACCCCAGCUGUCUAUUGUAAGGGCCAGUGUCUAUUAAAAUAAAUAUAAAAGUGUUCUAACAUC